CUUCCACUAUUUUGUCCCACUCCCACUUGUUUUUUUUUCAUGCUUUUAAAACUCCCUUGUAAAUGAUGUAAAUGAUGACCCUGAGUGAUGUCAUGAUGGACACAAAAUGCUUUGAUCUGUCCUGAAUGAGUCUAAGCCCUUCAGUGAUUAAUUUUGAAACUUUGCAGGACUUGUGUUCAUUCAAUUCAGGGGGCUAUAAAUGGUGAGGUAGAACAUGUGUCCUGUGCAAAAGGGCGGCUCCAGCCCUCCAUCACAUACAUCCUUCAGUGUCCUGAGCCAAAACUCCUCCCCUGUAGUGCAGGUGUUUUGAAUAAGUUGUAAUUCUUGCUGUUCCCCUCAGCCUGGUGGCAGACUUAUCCUAAUGAAGAUGUGCUGUGUGUCAUUCACAGAGCUGUUGGGCUAGCUCGGGAUAAAAUUUUAAGUGGAAGGAAUGCAUUCAUUGGAAUCUAAGUUUUUUAAAAUAUAAUUUUAUUUAGUAAAAUAAAAUAACUCUGAGACUUCCCCUCCUUGGAAUUACACCUGUGCUUGUUCCCUGGGAAAUGCUGCCCUUCCUGGCUGUGGAUGGAUCCAAAACCUGCUGUGGUUUCCUAUGCUGUGUCCUGGAGCACCUGGAGCACCAUAACACUGAGCAACUCUUUUACAGAGAAGGUGAACCUGUGAAACAUCUGUGUCCUCAGGUGAAUCAGGACACCAAGUGUACAGGGGAAGCCUCCAGACAAAACAGUGACAUGAGGAGUGAACAAACCUAUUUUCAUAGCAGGCCACUCUACAGGAGUUUUGAAUAUGGAAGCACCUUCUGGUAAUGCAGGAUGCUCAGUGUGUAUCAGCACAAGCUUACCAGGACUUUGCAGAUCAGCGGUAACUUACUGGGGCCCACUUGACAUUCCUCUAGGUUUCAGAAAUGAUUGCUAAUAUUGGCAGAAAUUGCAGCCAGAGUUUACAGAAAAUAAUAAAUAAUGUGCCCGUGAAUGUAAUUGCA
rnacentral:lncRNA from 1 species